AGCCUAUAAAAGUGAGGGCGUUGGGGUAUCACGUCAUCAGAAGUGGCCCGAAACAGCCGCAGACUGCCGCUAGGUGUCACUGGCGUCUCCCCUCGCUUCCAGAACGUCAUUUUAUACGACUACGGAAUGAAAUGUCACGUGAUCAUCUUGCGAUGUUUGACCCUUGCUGUGAUGGUAUCUGUUAUCUCAGCGGAACUCAAAAUGGGGAAGUGCAAAACUCAUGGAGAAAUCGACUCCAUGGACAAUUUUGAUAUAACGAAGUUCGUUGGCGAAUGGUACGUAGUCCAAGGACAGAGGGAAAGAGGAAAAUGCAUCAUGAACUAUUUCUUCCUUCGUAAAUCCGGAAAGAUAAAGCAUGGUGUCAAAAAACAGUACGAUAUUGUGCAUAAGCACUGGCAAUUAGCCGGUUUGUUUUCAGUCCACCAUCAGAAGAACCAUGUCCUCUUUCUGACCGAAGGGCAAGAAAAUUGCAAGUCACAUAUAGUAGCCAAUCGUCUAAUUAUUACUACCAAUUAUUACAUCUUGGAAACGGAUUACGACAGUUACGCCCUUUUGUACCGGUGCGAGAACUUCAUUUUCUUCAGAAACGAGUACGCUGCCAUUCUCUCGAGAACAUGGCGUCUGGAUCCUUCCAUCAUCAAGAGGUUGCAGAAGUCAGUGGAGAAGUUCGGCAUUAAACCAGAAGACUUCAACAGGGUCUAUUUCCAUGACUGUGACUCAGAAGAUGCUUAGUUUUUGACUUCCCUUUACUUGUGUGGAUGAAACAACGCGAAGAUAAGACUGAACAGAGGAAGAGAAUGCAGCCACUCGCCUAACCUUAAAAGUAGAACAUCAGGAGCAUCAUUUGUAGAAGAGAAAGGAAAAGAAAUAAAGAAGACCUGAAGAAUGCGAAUUGCAUUGCAGAAGAACGAAGAAUCUGUCACUUCAUUGUCUCUUUUGUAGCACACAAAAAUAUGCUGAGGAACCACCAUAAUCUUUCUUUUAUCUUGACCAACUUUUGUAUUUUCUGUCUUUUAACAGAAAUAGACUUGAGUAAAUUAAUAAGGAAAGAAAUAA